UGAACGCUAGCGGCAGGCCUACCACAUGCAAGUCGAGGGGGAAGUUACUUUCGGGUGACUGAGACCGGCGUACGGGUGCGUAACGCGUAUACAAUCUGCCUUUCACUGGGGGAUAGCCCGAAGAAAUUUGGAUUAAUACCCCAUAGUAUAUAGGGACGGCAUCGUUUUUAUAUUAAAGCUUAGGUGGUGAAAGAUGAGUAUGCGUUCUAUUAGCUAGUUGGAGAGGUAACGGCUCCCCAAGGCGAUGAUAGAUAGGGGUUCUGAGAGGGAUGUCCCCCACACUGGUACUGAGAUACGGACCAGACUCCUACGGGAGGCAGCAGUGAGGAAUAUUGGACAAUGGUCGGAAGACUGAUCCAGCCAUGCCGCGUGCAGGAUGAAGGUCUUAUGGAUUGUAAACUGCUUUUGUAAGGGAAGAAUAAGGGCUACGCGUAGUUUGAUGACGGUACCUUACGAAUAAGCAUCGGCUAACUCCGUG
rnacentral:rRNA from 1 species